rnacentral:rRNA from 1 species
UACGUAGGGAGCAAGCGUUGUCCGGAAUCAUUGGGCGUAAAGCGCGCGUAGGUGGCUUCGUAAGUCCGUUGUGAAAGUCAAAGGCUCAACCUUUGAAAGCCGAUGGAUACUGUGAAGCUAGAGUACGGAAGAGGCGAGUGGAAUUCCUGGUGUAGCGGUGAAAUGCGCAGAUAUCAGGAGGAACACCAAUGGCGAAGGCAGCACUCUGGGACGUGACUGACGCUGAGACGCGAAAGCGUGGGGAGCAAACAGG